UCUGAUUUUAAACAGACAACUCCAGUUUAACCUUCUUGCUGGAAGAUAGAUGGAGAUCCAACAUCAUAAGUUCAGGAAGGAGUAUUCAUUGGUUAUAAGAGCUGAUAAGAUAGAAGAAAUGAUAAAAGAUCUCCAGGGGACAUCAACGGAUUGGCCUGCUCUUUGAAAUUCUCUCCUGUGAAUGAUCUCGAGACUCAUCCAAAGCUGAGAUGCUUGUGGAUAUGAAAAAUUUUAAUUAUGCUUGAGCAAACUGUCAAAAUGGAAUUGCUGUUGGGAGGAAAUGACUUCUGUUAGAAAUACAGGUGCCACACAGAGACUAUUCUCUAGCGCUGCUGAUCAUCCAGUCUUGCCAAACAGAACCAGGAACCCAGGAUCAGGAACAUUUGUGAAUCAGACAUCGUCAUCUGUCCCACUUGUUGCCUGUCUGUCUCUCAUCAGUGACCCCAGACAACAAACAUUGUGUCUAAGGCCUGGGCUGGUGCGUGAGG